GAUGAACGCAGCGAAAUGCGAUACGUAAUGUGAAUUGCAGAAUUCAGUGAAUCAUCGAGUCUUUGAACGCACAUUGCGCCCUCUGGUAUUCCGGAGGGCAUGCCUGUCCGAGCGUCAUUGCUGCCCUCAAGCACGGCUUGUGUGUUGGGCUCCGUCCCCCGAUCCCGGGGGACGGGCCCGAAAGGCAGCGGCGGCACCGCGUCCGGUCCUCGAGCGUAUGGGGCUUUGUCACCCGCUCUGUAGGCCCGGCCGGCGCUUGCCGAUCAACCAAAUUUUUAUCCAGGUUGACCUCGGAUCAGGUAGGGAUACCCGCUGAACUUAAGCAUAUCAAUAAGCGGAGGA
rnacentral:misc_RNA from 1 species